UGAAUUAGAAUUUAAUCCCUAACUAUGCAUUCAACAUUUUUUGAUCGUUGGAUAAAAAUAGAAUAAUUUAAAUUUUAAAUUAAAUAAUUUUAUUUUAAAAUAAUUUAAAAAAUUGCACUAAACUCUAAGUAGUUCGAACCUUAAAUGUGUCGGAAUGUUUGAUUAUAAGGGAUUUAAUAAAAUACCAGUUUAUUUUAGUUUUAAAAAAAUAGAUUUUUUUUUUGUAUUUUUGAAAAUAGAUUUUACAAAAAUACUUUUCAAAAUAUUACAAAUUUUUU
rnacentral:lncRNA from 1 species